AGAGGCUGAAUUAUCCUCCAAGCGGUGCUGCUUCUGAGCCUCUGCCCUGGUGCCGGUGUCUCGAGCUUCAUGUCUUUUUAACAAGUGUGUCAGUGUGAGCUUGGCCUGCAGCCUGGAGUCUACUAAUGUUUUCCCAAGAGAGAAAAAUAAGAGAAGGAUAAUGACAAUUUUUGUCAGUUUGCAUCCCAAAUGGAAUUUUAUGGGACGAAGAAAAGAGACUUCUGUGGCCCAAAGAGAUUUCCUCUGCUGAAUACCAAACACUUCUACAAACAACAGAAAGAUAAAAAGAAGCGAUAUUGUUGGGAUGCCUAGGAUUUCAAAAUAUUACUUCAUAAUAAGCAUAAAACACACCUUAAAGCACAUAUUAUGGGUCCAGAAGAACACAUCUUUCAGUCUUUGAGAAGCAUUCAAACUACUCUGGCAGAUGAAGAUUUGGAUUUGGCUUGCUUGAUGCUGGACGAUUAAUGAAGGAAGCCCUAACUGGACAAAUGUUGGUCUCCUGAGACAAUGUGUUGUUGAUAACAGAAAAGGAUUGACAAUAAGAUGUGGAUGUUCAUCUUUAAUGAACUCUAGUCACCAAGUGGAAACUGGCUAACUUUGAUGAUGUAGUUGAUCACCUUCUCAGCAGUAGCUGAAUACUUGCUCCUCAAAAUGAGCAAGCCUGUUAACUGAGAAUGUGAAGAGGUGAACCAAGCAAAAAAGAAAAAGUGUGAAGAACUUUGCUGCCAUAUCGUCACUGUAUCAUAUAGUUUUAGGUUCAAUGAGUGAAUAGUGGAAGAGUACUACAGAGAAAUCUACAUAAUAUGUUUGAUCCAAUCAAGUGUUGCCACAGUACCAGUAUUCUUUUCUUGUUGGAGUUACUCAUGUAGGAGAAACCGCACUGCUGUGUGAGUUAAAGGUUCACAUUCUGUCCUUCAUUUUGGCACUUACAUUAUAAGACUCUCU